rnacentral:rRNA from 1 species
GACGAACGCUGGCGGCGUGCUUAACACAUGCAAGUCGAGCGGUAAGGCCCUUUCGGGGUACACGAGCGGCGAACGGGUGAGUAACACGUGGGUGACCUGCCCUCAGCUCUGGGAUAAGCCUGGGAAACCGGGUCUAAUACUGGAUAUGACUCCAUGACGCAUGUUGUGGGGUGGAAAGCCUUGUGCGGCUGAGGAUGGGCCCGCGGCCUAUCAGCUUGUUGGUGGGGUGANGGCCUACCAAGGCGACGACGGGUAGCCGGCCUGAGAGGCGACCGGCCACACUGGGACUGAGACACGGCCCAGACUCCUACGGGAGGCAGCAGUGGGGAAUCUUGCGCAAUGGGCGAAAGCCUGACGCAGCGACGCCGCGUGAGGGAUGACGGCC